CCUACGGGGUGCAGCAGUGAGGAAUAUUGGUCAAUGGACGAGAGUCUGAACCAGCCAAGUAGCGUGAAGGAUGACUGCCCUAUGGGUUGUAAACUUCUUUUAUAUGGGAAUAAAACGUUCCACGUGUGGGAUUUUGUAUGUACCAUAUGAAUAAGGAUCGGCUAACUCCGUGCCAGCAGCCGCGGUAAUACGGAGGAUCCGAGCGUUAUCCGGAUUUAUUGGGUUUAAAGGGAGCGUAGGUGGAUUGUUAAGUCAGUUGUGAAAGUUUGUGGCUCAACCGUAAAAUUGCAGUUGAAACUGGCAGUCUUGAGUACAGUAGAGGUGGGCGGAAUGCGUGGUGUAGCGGUGAAAUGCUUAGAUAUCACGAAGAACUCCGAUUGCGAAGGCAGUUCACUGGACUGCAACUGACACUGAGGCUCGAAAGUGUGGGUAUCAAACAGGAUUAGAUACCCGGGUAGUC
rnacentral:rRNA from 1 species